GAAUUAUAAUAAAGAUGCUGUCAAAUAAGUCUUUGUUUUUAUGUACGACCGUAAUACUGACCACAAUUGGAGUUCAUUUGGCUGCUGAAUCUGACGAUACGUAUACUAUGAUUUCAAAAGGAAAUAUAUAUGAAAAAAUUUAAAAUAUAUAAAGCAAUUAUCAUUUGCUAUCAGCCUGACUUGGCAUUGCUCAGAGAAGAUUUUAACCUUUGAUCGGGUUAACGAUAAUUUCAAAGAUAUUCAUUUUGCGGCUAUAUUAUUUGGUUGUUCGACUAUUGUGGACUUUGUAAUCUAAUGGAAAAUAUCCUAAUCAUGAGCUGGAAAAUGUUACUGGGAUGUAUUGGGUACACCACACCUAUCCGAAAGCAGCUAAGAUACUAAUAAUUUCAUAUUUUGGUCGAUUGUAAUUUAUUAAGAUUAGUUAUUUAAGAUUCACAAUCCUUGCCACUUACUAUUAAUUUUCCGUUACAGAUACUUUCAAACAGUUUAAAAUCAUAAGCAUUCAAGUAGAAAAUAUAUAGGCAUCUACUUCUUCAUCUAUGUUUUACAUUUCCAUCUUAUAUCAAUAUGCCUUUAUUUUUCAGAACAUAACGUAAGGUCUAAUCGAUAUCUGAAUAAAAGGAAUCAUUUCGACGACA